CGAGUUCAUUUCCUUGUCCGAAAGGUCUGGGUAAUCUUGUUAAACUCUGUCGUGCUGGGGAUAGAGCAUUGCAAUUAUUGCUCUUCAACGAGGAAUGCCUAGUAAGCGCAUGUCAUCAGCAUGCGUUGAUUACGUCCCUGCCCUUUGUACACACCGCCCGUCGCUACUACCGAUUGAAUGGCUCGGUGAGGCCUUCGGACUGGCCCAGGGAGGUCGGCAACGACCACCCAGGGCCGGAAAGUUGGUCAAACCCGGUCAUUUAGAGGAAGUAAAAGUCGUAACAAGGUCUCCGUAGGUGAACCUGCGGAGGGAUCAUU
rnacentral:rRNA from 1 species